rnacentral:rRNA from 1 species
UACGAAGGGGGCAAGCGUUGUUCGGAAUGACUGGGCGUAAAGGGCGCGUAGGCGGUUCGUUGCGUCAGAUGUGAAAGCCCCGGGCUCAACCUGGGAACUGCAUUUGAUACGGGCGGGCUUGAAUCCAAGAGAGGGUGGUGGAAUUCCCAGUGUAGAGGUGAAAUUCGUAGAUAUUGGGAAGAACACCUGUGGCGAAGGCGGCCACCUGGCUUGGUAUUGACGCUGAGGCGCGAAAGCGUGGGGAGCAAACAGG